UACGUAGGGGGCAAGCGUUGUCCGGAAUUAUUGGGCGUAAAGAGCGCGUAGGCGGUCCGAUAAGUCGGCUGUGAAAGUCAGGGGCUCAACCCUUGGAAGCCGGCCGAUACUGUCGGACUAGAGUCCGGAAGAGGCGAGUGGAAUUCCUGGUGUAGCGGUGAAAUGCGCAGAUAUCAGGAGGAACACCAAUUGCGAAGGCAGCUCGCUGGGACGUUACUGACGCUGAGACGCGAAAGCGUGGGGAGCAAACAGG
rnacentral:rRNA from 1 species